rnacentral:rRNA from 1 species
AUGAGCAUGGAGGUGCUACACGAUACAACAGGGAAGAAGGAAGCGGUUGUGUACUAUAUGGACACCCCUUUACCAUAUGCAAUUGAAGAGAAUUUCGGGGGAUGCUUCUUUGAAGAUGAUGUUGAUCUUGCACAAGUUCUUCAAGAUCAGGAAAUAGUGUAUCAAUUAAUCCAAGGAAAUGAUGGAAGUGGUUCAUCUAGGACUCAUUCAGAUCCUAGUUCUAGUUGUGGCCAUCCACGAAAAUCGAGUAGGCGAAGAUUAAAAAGAGGCGCAAAUUAUGAGUCACAGCUAGCUGUCGAUGAAGCUUUAGCUAGAGACUUGCAGGCGAUGGAGGACCAAAUUGCUAGGGCAACGAUAGAUGACAAGAAGAGAAAAGAAGGAAGAAAGCCUGUAAGUUCUUCAACAUCCAACAAUGGCAAUACUUCUGUUAGCAGAUCUUCUCAGGUAUUAACGGAGGAUGGAGUUGAUCCUGAUAAUAUGACUUAUGAGGAACUACAACAAUUAGGGGAAACUAUUGGGACUGAAAGUAAAGGGUUGCCAGAAGAUGUGAUAGCUCUCCUUAAGUCUUCAACAUACAAAAUUGGGAUAUUCUCAAGAAAGGAAAAACAUGAUGAAUGUGUCAUAUGCUGUAUGGCUUACAAGAACCGCGAUAAGCUGACUACAUUGCCCUGUCAGCAUCAGUACCAUCGAACUUGUGUUGCCAAAUGGUUGAAGAUCAAUAAGGUAUGCCCCGUUUGCAACAAGGAGGUUUUUGGGUCGUGA